AGCGGCAACAGCUCAAUUUGAAAUCUGGCCCCCCGGCCCGAGUUGUAAUUUGCAGAGGAUGCUUUUGGUGAGGCACCCACCGAGUCCCCUGGAAUGGGGCGCCAUAGAGGGUGAGAGCCCCGUAUGGUAGGACGCCGAACCUCUGUAAAGCUCCUUCGACGAGUCGAGUAGUUUGGGAAUGCUGCUCUAAAUGGGAGGUAAAUUUCUUCUAAAGCUAAAUACCGGCCAGAGACCGAUAGCGCACAAGUAGAGUGAUCGAAAGAUGAAAAGCACUUUGAAAAGAGGGUUAAAAAGUACGUGAAAUUGUUGAAAGGGAAGCGCUUGUGACCAGACUUGCGCCGGGCGGAUCAUCCAGCGUUCUCGCUGGUGCACUCCGCCCGGUUCAGGCCAGCAUCGGUUUUCGCCGGGGGACAAAGGCUUCGGGAACGUGGCUCCUCUCGGGGAGUGUUAUAGCCCGUUGCGUAAUACCCCGGCGGGGACCGACGACCGCGCUUCGGCAAGGAUGCUGGCGUAAUGGUCAUCAGCGACCCGUCUUGAAACACGGACCGAGGAGUCAAGCAUUAGUGCGAGUGUUUGGGUGUAAAACCCGCACGCGUAAUGAAAGUGAACGUAGGUGAGAGCUUCGGCGCAUCAUCGACCGAUCCUGAUGUUUUCGGAAGGAUUUGAGUAGGAGCAUUAACGCUUGGACCCGAAAGAUGGUGAACUAUACUUGAAUAGGGUGAAGCCA
rnacentral:rRNA from 1 species